rnacentral:rRNA from 1 species
GUGAGGAAUUUUCCGCAAUGGGCGAAAGCCUGACGGAGCAAUGCCGCGUGAAGGAUGAAGGCCUAUGGGUUGUAAACUUCUUUUCUCAGAAAAGAAUUAUGACGGUAUCUGAGGAAUAAGCAUCGGCUAACUCUGUGCCAGCAGCCGCGGUAAGACAGAGGAUGCAAGCGUUAUCCGGAAUGAUUGGGCGUAAAGCGUCUGUAGGUUGUUUAAAAAGUAUUCUGUCAAAGAUUAGGGCUUAACCCUAGAUAGGCAGAAUAAACUUUUAAGCUAGAGUUUGGUAGAGGCAGAGGGAAUUCCCGGUGGAGCGGUGAAAUGCGUAGAUAUAGGGAGGAACACCAAAGGCGAAGGCACUCUGCUGGGCCAAUACUAACGCUGAGAGACGAAAGCGAGGGGAGCAAAUGGGAUUAGAAACCCCUGUAGUCC